CACGUAGGGUGCGAGCGUUGUCCGGAAUUAUUGGGCGUAAAGAGCUCGUAGGCGGUGUGUCGCGUCGGCCGUGAAAACCUACAGCUUAACUGUGGGCUUGCGGUCGAUACGGGCAUCACUGGAGUUCGGCAGGGGAGACUGGAAUUCCUGGUGUAGCGGUGAAAUGCGCAGAUAUCAGGAGGAACACCGGUGGCGAAGGCGGGUCUCUGGGCCGAUACUGACGCUGAGGAGCGAAAGCCAGGGGAGCGAACGGG
rnacentral:rRNA from 1 species